GACGAACGCUGGCGGCGUGCUUAACACAUGCAAGUCGAGCGGUAAGGCCCUUUCGGGGGUACACGAGCGGCGAACGGGUGAGUAACACGUGGGUGACCUGCCCUCAGCUCUGGGAUAAGCCUGGGAAACCGGGUCUAAUACUGGAUAUGACUCCAUGACGCAUGUUGUGGGGUGGAAAGCCUUGUGCGGCUGAGGAUGGGCCCGCGGCCUAUCAGCUUGUUGGUGGGGUGANGGCCUACCAAGGCGACGACGGGUAGCCGGCCUGAGAGGGCGACCGGCCACACUGGGACUGAGACACGGCCCAGACUCCUACGGGAGGCAGCAGUGGGGAAUAUUGGACAAUGGGCGCAAGCCUGAUCCAGCAAUGCCGCGUGUGUGAAGAAGGCCUCGGUU
rnacentral:rRNA from 1 species